rnacentral:rRNA from 1 species
UACAGAGGGGGCAAGCGUUGUUCGGAAUUACUGGGCGUAAAGGGCGCGUAGGCGGCCUUCUAAGUCGAACGUGAAAUCCCCGGGCUCAACCCGGGAACUGCGUCCGAUACUGGAAGGCUUGAAUCCGGGAGAGGGAUGCGGAAUUCCGAGUGUAGAGGUGAAAUUCGUAGAUAUUCGGAAGAACACCAGUGGCGAAGGCGACUUACUGGACACAUAUUGACGCUGAGGUGCGAAAGCGUGGGGAGCAAACAGG